rnacentral:rRNA from 1 species
GUGGGGAAUUUUGGACAAUGGGCGAAAGCCUGAUCCAGCAAUGCCGCGUGUGUGAAGAAGGCCUUCGGGUUGUAAAGCACUUUUGUCCGGAAAGAAAUCCUUUGGGUUAAUACCUCGGAGGGAUGACGGUACCGGAAGAAUAAGGACCGGCUAACUACGUGCCAGCAGCCGCGGUAAUACGUAGGGUCCGAGCGUUAAUCGGAAUUACUGGGCGUAAAGCGUGCGCAGGCGGUUUUGUAAGACAGAUGUGAAAUCCCCGGGCUUAACCUGGGAAUUGCAUUUGUGACUGCAAGGCUAGAGUGUGUCAGAGGGGGGUAGAAUUCCACGUGUAGCAGUGAAAUGCGUAGAGAUGUGGAGGAAUACCGAUGGCGAAGGCAGCCCCCUGGGAUAACACUGACGCUCAUGCACGAAAGCGUGGGGAGCAAACAGGAUUAGAUACCCCGGUAGUCC